UUCUCUCCUGUUUGCUUUCCCCCCGGCCCGCCGCGGCCUGCCCUCCUGGGCCCACCCUCCGCCCACAAAUCCUGCUCGGAUGAUUGACAGGCCUGCAGGACCGCAAGGCGGACCCAGACACCUCCAGGCAGGGCCGCAACCUCCACAUAGAAGAAACAUAUUCGGCUCACAGGUCCCCCCCCAGCUCCCUCUGCCUCUUGAUGGACCUGGUGCUUCCCCAUGUGGCCCUGCAUAGUGCAUUACGUUCUCCCCCAGGAACUGUACUUGGACAACACAGACCGUGGCUGCAGUGCAGUGCUGGGAAAACCCUGGCCUGUGAACAGAGACGGCUGAUUUCCAGCUGCCAACGUGAUGUCACUGAACGGGAAUGGGGACGGAGGCACACCACUGGCUCUCGUGAGCGGUGGAAGCUCCACCUCUGUGCUGCGUGGGCCUACCUGGCUGUGCCCACCGAGUGAUCCAGCCAGGCCCUGCAUGGGCGCUUGAGACGGACGAAGCUCUUACUGCGUGCUAAGAUUCCAUAUGUAAGCGACAUCAUAUGAUAUUUGGAGGCCGAGAGCGUUUGGAGUGCCAUUCACCUGUACCAGGAAACUAACUUACUCGCGGUGACCUUAAACCUGUGAAAUGAGAUUUAUCCAGAAGCCGGAGGUAUACGUGAUGGAAUCAAAUCUCAGGAAAGGAAUGAUCUAAUUGUGAAUGGUGCUGGACCUCUUCUAUAGUAAGCAAGGCAGAAUUCGAGCUACAUUCUCCUACAGAAACAGUAGGAAAUGUGGGGCAUUGUGUGAUAUUCACUGAAAAAAAUUGUACAGAGAAAGCGAUGAUUUGUCUUUGCCAUUAGAAAACUUUAUUUUUAUGGGUAUAACCUAGAAUCAAUUAUUCAACCCCUUUUGGAUAAAGCGUAACGUGUAGUAAAAUGCAAGGAGGGUCAUUCAUUUCAUUUAAUGAUAAAAUGAUGUCUGACCAAUUUGAUGAGGGCUGUAAGUCAAACUUAAAUGCUCUGGCAUUUGAUGUUGCCGAAACUACAAAUCUUAUUAAGAAGCUUUUUACAUUUAAAAUAUGCAAAAUGCAAACAAAAUUUAGCAGUGAAAGUAAAAUUAAAUAUUUAAUGACAUAAUUAAGUCUUAUUAAUGGUAUGUUCCUUAUUUUGCAGAUUAAAUAUUCACAACGAUGAUCAUCUCUUUCAUCUUUAUUACUUAAGCAAUGUGUUUUUCAUAAUUAUUUGUUAGGUAUUUUCAUUAACAUUGGAUGAAUAUUAAUAGUUAAGAUAAAAAACAGUUUUUAUUUCUGUUGUAAUGACUUUAUGGCGAUAAUAAUGUAUAACUGUUUAUAAUGUGUUCUACUUGUUAAUAUUUAGAUCACUGAUUUUGUUGCCACAGAGUGGAAACAUGGGUCUUUAUGGGUGAUAAAUGACA